GAGAAGCUGCAUUCUAAGAAGCAUUAUGACCUGUCUUCUUAGAAACAACACGGCAUCACUUUUACCACAUUCUUUUGGUCACAAGGAGAGGGAAUUACACAUCACCUGAUUUUGGAUGCAUGUGUGAGGUAUGCUACUGUACUCACAAGACAUCUGAAACUAUACCCAGAUCAUCUAGAAGUGAACAUGUUCCAGGUGAUGUCCCUAUGUAAACCAAGGGUUGGUUUUCAGUGGGUAGAAAAUGCCCUUCAAACACUGACCCUGUCAUAUUGCAGAUGCCUUCAGCUCUGAAGGCUGGGAAAUUUAAAGUCAAGGACCACCAGGUUUGGUGUCUGGUGAAGGCUGCUCUCUUUGCCUUUGAGAUGAUGUCCUGUUUCUGUGUCCUCCUGAGGGAAUGAACACUGUGUCCUCACAUGGUUGGCAGAAUCAGAAGUGGAAAAGGGGCUUAAGCUAGCUCCCUCCAGCCCAUUCAUAAGGCAUGUAAUCAUUUAUCUAAAAGGCUCACCUCUUUAUACUACCACAAUCAGGAUGAAGCUUCAAUGUGCAUCUGGGAGGGGACACACAUUCAAAUUGUAGUCCAUGGGUUACUUUAAUCAAACUCCAAUUUUUUAAAUAUUUACUCCCCUCUUAGUUCAUUUAGAAUCUUGUCACCAUGUUCUGUACACAGUUUUAAUUUCUCUCUUUCUCUUUUUCUUUUGAUAAGGGUAAACUCUUUUGUACAUAUGAUGAGUCUAUAAAGUCUUGACAAUUUUAUGUAUGUAAUAUUUCAUAAAAUUUCACAAAUACUUUAUUAUACCUAUCCUUUGAAAUCAGUAUGAGAAAAUCUAAUAAAAUUUUUUUAUAAUUCUC